CAUAAGAGCAUGAUUAUCGGCGUCUUUUAAGCGUCUCUUAGUUGCUGACUAGGAUAAAAAAUAAAUGAAAAAUGGGAAUUAUCUUAAGGGACGUCGCUUAAUUAAGCACAAGAAGAGACGCAUUUUGUGGACACGCGUCAGGUUGGUAUGGUUUUGGGAGGUCUCCUCUCCGACGACGAAAUCACAGAAAAUUGUGGGUGAUCUCCUUGAAGCAAAGCGGCGGUGGCCUCCUCUCCGACGACAAAAUCACAAAAAAUUCCGAUCGUGUUCGAGUUACAUACAAGUUUCGUUCUUUUCUUACGAGAAUUUGUUUUCAUCGUCUUGAUCGUGAGACCCGCACAUAUCUUCUGUUCUCAAGUUCAGAGUCCACAUACAGGGCUACAAAUGAUAUGCUGAUUGGUCCAGAUUAGGCUACUUGAACUCUGUGACAUGGAAACUCUGUGAACUCGGCUUCUACAGCACUGUAGUACUUGAGGCACGAGCAUCAUGUUCUCGCAGUUGCAUGGUCACCAGAUGCAAACUGUCUUGUGAGCGGUGAUAGAAACGGAAAAGUCUGUUGUUGGGAUCCAAGCAAAGGAGAAUUACAGGGCAAAGCACUUGCAGUUAACAUGUUCAGAUGAAGAAAUGAACAGAAUAUGUUCUUCGGACAGGAGCUUUUGACCACACUAGACAAGUAACAUGUUCAGAUGAAGAAAUGGAAAAGGUAAUAAUAAGCUUCUGAUGAAGAAAUGGAAAAGGUAAUAAUAAGUCUUCUUCAUUUUUUGAGGUCAAGUCUACAUAAAACAAUAUGAUAUUAAUGAGAGGUGUGUCCA